GCUGGCUAUGGUGGCGCAUACCUGUAAUCUUAAUGACUCAGGAGGCUGAGGUAGGAGAUCUCAAUUUUGAGGCCAGCCUCAGCAAUUUAGAAAAACCCUUUCUCAA
rnacentral:sRNA from 1 species